GCCCAGAUAGCUCAGUUGGUAGAGCGUGAGACUCUUAAUCUCAGGGUUGUGGGUUCGAGCCCCACAUUGGGCG